AAGGAUGUGCAGUGGCAGUAUCGUAGCCAAUGAGGUUUAUCCGAGGCGCGAUUAUUGCUAAUUGAAAACUUUUCCCAGAAAGG
rnacentral:snRNA from 1 species